CGCCUUCGACGAUCUCACGACCGGGUCACGUGACCUGUCAGUGCCAGUGGAGAAGCUUGAAAAGUUCGUCCACGAGUACUUCGACGAUGCAGGGAAGGAUCUGGUGCACCACGAGCCAGAGGACUUCGUCUCAGAUCCCACCGAGUUCCUCCUCAACGUGGAGAACGACCAAGUCAGAGAAUGGGCGCGUGAGGUACACUGCCUUUGGAGAACCCUGAGCUGCAGAGUCUCUGACUCGGUCAUAGAGUCACCUGACCGGCACACGCUUCUCCCGUUGCCGGAACCGGUUAUCAUUCCCGGUUCGAGAUUCAGAGAAGUCUAUUACUGGGAUUCUUAUUGGGUUAUCAAGUCAGUGUUCAUCAACUUUUCAAACCAUUGUCUUUUUUUUUUCUUUCUAUAAUUUAUUCUUCAACUCCUUUUAAUAUUCCGUGUUGACUACGCAACACGAGCUCACGUGUCGAUGUCAUGUUAUGUGGUGCGCUUUUGCACGUGCAGAGGACUUUUGACGAGUAAAAUGUUCACUACGGCCAAAGGUUUAGUGACGAACCUGAUGUCACUUGUGGAGACUUAUGGUUACGCUUUGAACGGUGCUAGAGCUUAUUACACUAACCGAAGGUAAAAACCAAAACAGAUAAUCAUCGUAAAAUGUUACGUAACAGAGAGUAAUAGGCUGUUUUUUUAUUGUAACAAGCCAACCACCUCUAUUGAGCUCAAUGGUCUAUGAGAUCUAUAACGUAACCAAAGAUGAAGAACUUGUGAGGAAAGCUAUCCCUGUGCUUCUCAAAGAGUACGAGUUCUGGAACUCAGGUUAGUUUUUUAGUUGAGUUACAUAAUGAUAUGGUGUGUUCUUUCCUAUAUUUAAUGUUGGUUAUAUUAUAAGUAUCUUUUAAUUUUGUAGGAAAACAUAAGGUUGUAAUUCGAGACGCAAGUGGCAAUGAUCACAUCUUAAGCCGGUAUUACGCCAUGUGGAACAUGCCUAGACCUGAAUCCUCUGUUUUCGUAUGUUUCUUGUCUCAUUAGCUCAAGUAAACUGUAGCUUUUUUUUAACUUGGAAAAAAAUAUUUUGACUCCCUCUCUCUCUCUCUCUCGCUCACAGGAUCAAGAAUCAGCUUCGGGGUUUUCGAGUACGUUAGAGAAACAACGGUUCCAUCGAGAUAUAGCUACGGCUGCUGAAUCAGGAUGCGACUUCAGCACGAGAUGGAUGAGGUUAAAUUUAUUAUCAAAAUUGUUACUAGAAUCGUUUAUAUUACUGUCACACUUAAUUAAUAUCAAUAAUGUUUUGUGCAGACACCCUCCUAAUUUCACAACGAUGGCUACAACAUCAGUUGUUCCUGUUGAUCUAAACGUCUUUCUUCUCAAGGUUUGUUUACUUUCUUGAUCACACAUUAGAUCUCUAUUCAUUAUGGUUCAAGAUUGUACAUGACUAUGCUUGAGCCUUGUACUGAUCUUCUUUUUCCCUUAGAUGGAACUCGAUAUAGCGUUUAUGAUGGAGAUUGCUGGAGAUAGAAAAGGUUCAGAGCGUUUUGUGAAAGCGUCAGAAGCGAGAAAGAAAGCGUUUGAGACUGUGUUUUGGAAUGAAAAAGCAGCGCAGUGGCUAGAUUACUGGCUUUCCUCCAAUGGUGAUGUAAGUUAAAGAAUCUUUAGUUACAUUAUCGGAUUUGUAAUGGUAUUCAAACAUUGGGAACACGUUUGUGUCUUCAGGAGCCUGAGACAUGGAAAGCUGAGAACCAAAACAACAAUGUUUUUGCAUCUAACUUUGCUCCAAUCUGGAUUAGUUCCUUCCAUUCAGGUAAAACUAUGUCUACAUGUUUAUUUGCACACAUUUAUUAAAUUUGAUGGGUUUACAACUUAAAACCAAUUACAAUGGCUCAUUUCCAUUAUAUACUAGUUAAUAUGAUUUCAAACUUACGAUGUGGGAGUCUUUGUCUCUAAUAACAUGUACAUGUAGAUGAAAAUCUUGUCAAGAAAGUUGUGAAGGCUCUUGCAAACUCAGGACUCAUCGCUCCCGCAGGAAUCGUAACAUCUUUGACAAACUCGGGACAACAAUGGUAAAUGAAAUUACUUGUGGUUCAAGUUUCACUUUGAAUAUUUAAAUUUCUUAACGAAACAUUUUUAACGUUGAGAUGUGCUUGCAAUGUAUUAAAGGGACGCUCCUAAUGGAUGGGCACCGCAACAAGAGCUUAUAGUUACAGGACUCGCAAGAUCUGGUCUAAAGGAAGCUAACGAGUUGGCAGAGGAGAUUGCAAGGAGAUGGAUAAGAAGUAGCUAUCGUGUUUACAAGACAAGUGGGUUUAUUCAUGAGAAGCUCAAUGUUUCAGAGUUUGGUGCAUAUGGUGGUGGAGGGGAAUAUAAGCCACAGGUAAAACAUUUUUAGUUUAAGCACUCUAAUUCAACUUCUUUUACUUACUUAGCUAUUAAGGGGUCUAAAAUGCAGAAAACAUAGUUUUUUUGGUGUAACAUAGUUAUAUUCUUGGAGAAAAUUCUAGUUAUAUUAGCAUUCUUGACUUUUAUCUUGCAGACGGGAUUUGGAUGGUCAAACGGAGUUAUAUUAGCAUUCUUGGAGGAGUUUGGAUGGCCCUCUGACCUGAGCAUUGAACCGUAGAUUUACUACUUUCGUAUUAAACAUUAAAUAAAGGAAUUACUUCAUAAUUUGCAAUUUUAUUUAAACUUUAUGAUAGUGGGAAUUUACUAGUAGUUUCACUUUUUGUGUGGAUUCGGUUAGAAUGUUUUGGUGUUCCAGAUAUUUUGUGAUCGAUAUAAUCAUCAUCCCAACUUAUGAUCGAUUUCAAUCUAGUUCAUUUAUAUUUUUCACUAAAAAGAGCUAGGCAAACGACAUUCUAUACAAUAUAACCAAAAGAUCCAAUGAUUCUUCAUAAAAUCGGUCCACAGUUAAUUCAGACCAUGCAAACCAAAAUUUACGAUACUAAACCAAAGAAAUCAAUUUGAAUACGGUUUAGGCUGUUCAAUCUAUUAAAACCACUCAUAAGUCAUAACCAUAUAAGUAUCUAAAAUAGAUGAAUGGUAUGACUUAACCAAAAUUGUAUGAACAAAGCAUUUUGGACUUUUAUUUAUAUAAAAUAGAUCAACGAGUGAUAUAUAUAUAUUUUUUUGACAACAUCAACUAAUAACUAACUAAAAACUCCAACCGGUCUAACAAGCCAAACCGGUGGGAUUGAAUCGACAUAAAGCAAAGCAGAAGGAGAACUCCCCGCACCACGUGCAAGCUUGUCCGCCAAAGUAUUUUGUGCUCUAAGAAUAUGUCUGAUCUGGAAAUGAGGGAAGAAAAUCUUACUGCGGUUGAAUUCUUCAAUGUGUGUAGAGAAAGCAGGCCAUUCAUCAGGUGUCGACACUAUCUUCACCAGCUGAGAACAAUCCGUCGCAAACACUACAUCAGAAAAUUGGAGGGUCUUCAUGCAUUCCAUUGCCCAAAUUAGUGCUUCAAAUUCAGCAUGCAAAGGUGACAAACUUCUACGAAGAUUCAUUGCCCCCCAUCAUGACAUCGGUCGAGCCACUCUUUCUGCAAAACCAUCCUUGUCCCGUAAACAUAUCUUCCUCUUUCCAAGCGCCGUCAAUAUAACAAACUCUAGAGCCGUCCAGGGCUAGAGCCGCAGAUUGUUGUAAACUCCCACUAUAGGAAUUCUCCACAGGACUAUUCACGGUUAACUGUGCCUCCAUCCAUAUCUUACUUUCCACAUCGGCCAUCCGCAAUAUCAUCUAGCCAUAAAUAAAACGAAAAACAGAAAGUUUUCAUUUACAUCUUGCUUUCUAUCGUCGCUUGUUGAAGUGUUAUUUAAGAGAUGUAACCGAUAAGAAAAAUCCGACUAGUGCUAACUAAGAAAUGGAAAUGUAUCGACAUAAUAGUAUGGUUGAUCACUUGAUUGAGUUGCGAACAUUGAUUUACCUUUCUAAAUCCCAAUACAUGCAAACGAGAAUAUUGAAACUUGUGAGUCUAGAUCGACACAAAAACCAAUAAUACUGAUACACAAGCAAAUUAAACAAAAGAGCAAAACUAUCCAAUACGACAUGAACAGAACUUGUGAUCAUUUGCUAAACAUCUUGGGUACCUCUUGCAAGGAAAGCACAAAUUGUGUAAGAGUAUUACCUGGGUAAAAGCACACUGAUAUGUUGCAAGGCAAGUACUUCUCGUUGGCACGGUUGAUAGGGCCUAGAUAUUUUGUUUGUGUCCGAACAUUACAUGCAACGUAACGUAUGUGUUGUAAGCUCCAUAGGUAGAUGAUGUCUACAUCGAAGUUAUUGAUGGCCAUUGGAACAGACUCAAAGCCAAUCCCGAUAGAAGCCAUGUUAAUUUCCCAAGCCUUGUCCCAUUCCCAAGAAUAAUCACUCUCGAUCAGCCGCCAAACCUUUACAUUGUAACCCUCCUCCGCUUGUUUCUUCACAUGUUACAAGCGUUUGUUAAAUGCUUCCUUUGAUCUAAUUCUUGGUCCAACUUAUGCAGCUGCAAGAUGCCUAACCCACUAAACUUGCAUAUGCUAAUACACUGCACUGAAAGAUUUAGAUCUUUGAAAGCAUCACGGGAAGAUGCUCAUCCGACACCUCAAUUGCGCUUGUAUGUACCCAACGAAGAAGCCAAACUCGCAGCUAAUUGAUGUUUUGAUAGACUUUAGAUACUUGUAACCUAAAGAGUAUGAAUACUCCUUCGAUUAUCAAUGUAAAGAACAGUUACAGCUUUGUAGUACUCUCAUAGCGAGAUCUCCAUCAUCGACAGUCUCAUAGCGACUGGGAACAGAAAACUCAUAUAUAUUGUCACUCAAAUUACACAUACAAAGCAUAAAGUUCACAAAUGAAAUACAAUUUUUAUUUAUACUAUCUUCUCUUCACUCUCAAUUUGUAACUGCAAAGUCUCUCUCCGAAUUAGAGGCUUCCAGACUCCUUCCGUAUUUGAAUUAAGCUUCAACGGUCCUUCCUACUUCAUCCUCUCCUUUCUUUCGAUAAUACACCUUCUUAAACCUAUCAUAUUUACACUUGCCAACAUAAACAAGUAGAAAAAAAGUCAGUAGUCUAUACGAAACCUUAAAGGAUGGAUGGAGAAGAAUCCUCUCACAAAAUCUUACACAUUGUUGUUCUCCUCUGCUAACAACAUCAUAGAAGAAAGAAUAGCAUCCACAGUAAUGUCCCAUCUCAAAACUGCUAUUAUAUGUUUUUUUGGCUUUGAUAAGUUUCAGAGUUAUGUUUAAAACCCUAAGCAGUGCGAGUGUCCACUUGUUCCACAUACCAAACGAACUGAGCCAAAUCAAUACAAAAUUGCACGAUAAUCAGAUUCAGUAUCUCGGUUACAUUCGACACUUUUUGGUUUGUGGCUGAAAAUGUUCAUAAUAAGGUUCCAAACGGUUUCACUUUAUAUUGUUUGUCAAAACCAAAACUGCUUUGCCCCCAAAAGAGAAGGGUUUUCGUUCUUUGCUGGUAAAAAGAAUAUACAAAUCCAACUCCAAAUAUUAAAAAAAAAAAAAAAAGAACAAACAUUCUUCGUAAAAGAUUAAACAAAUAUGUAAACAAGUUGUAUCCCCCUAACCAGAGAGUCAAUAUAACACAUUGAGUAGCCGUCGUUGCUCCGCUUCAUCUGACCGUAACGAGUAGAUAUCCGGUGGAGCAGUGAUGCCUCCUUUCUGGAUCAACCUAUCAUUCGAUGAAGAAGUGGUUUUCUGUUGAUCAAGAUAAACUACAACAACGCUUAUGUCGUCAUGGAAAUGCCUUCUAACCCCUUUGGCUAUUUUCUUUAUAUCUCCAUAUCUCAUUUCCCUCUUCCUUGCUGCUUCUUCAAGAGCUGCUCUUACAAGUUUUCUUGCAAUCCCCUGUUGAUCACCAGACAGUUAGAAAAUAGCUAACAGAAAGAGAAAGACGCAAGCGUUUAGGGAGGGAACUUACAGUUCUUGGGUGUUUGAGUACAAUUUCUACGGCUGCUUCAUCACUAAGAUGCUCCCAGAGACCAUCUGAUGCAAAUAUCAGAAACAAGUCUUGCGGCUUAAGCUUCCUUACUAUAAUGGAUGGUUCAGCUGUCAUCGCGGGUCUCCUCAAAGGAAUGUGGUUUCCAUGUUGUUGGAAUAUCGGAUCCCUGUAAAACUCUGGCUUCUUCAAGUAAACAUCCCCAAUUGAUCUAGAUACCUAUAAAGAACCACAUAUAGAAAUGACUUAUUAGCUUAACUAACAUUACCAUACAACGAGCUCAAGGUCAUAGAACACAUAAACCAUUAAAACUUCACCAUACCUGAAUAAUGCCUUUAAUCCUCCAAACUCCACGAAUGUACAUGACAAUCUGCGAAUCAUCCGGGUUAAGUUCCUUAACCUCCUUCCUCACUUCUUCAACAGCAACGUUAUGAUCAGUGGACAACCGUUCAGCUGCAGCACCCUUGUUACUACUACUACUAUCAUCCCCUGCAACAACGCUCCCAAGAACGGCUCUGGAGUCUCCGAGAUUCGCGACAUAGAGUGUGCCGUUAGAGAUGGCACCAAAGAGACAGCAAGAUCCUACAGUAGCCAUCUGUGGCUUCAUGGGAAGUGAGCGUUUAACCAUACCGCAAAAAUCCUCUUCAGUUUCUUUGAAUGCUUUUUUAAUAACGUCUGCAGACAGUCCUCCAUGUUCUUUUGCGAACUCUGCAAAAUUACAAAAACAAUACAGAACAUAAGAUCACAAACACACCAAAGUUCGAAUCUUUUUAUAUUGGAAAGUGACUAACUAUGUUAUUACUACAAGACAUGAACAUGUUCUGUAAGAGAAAAAUGAUUUAACAGAGAAAAAAAAAACAGAGCAUAAGAUCAUAAAGGCCAAAACUUUGUAGCAAAGUUCGAAUCUUUUUAUGAACCCAGAUUGAGAAUUAGGAUUAUUACUCUGAAUAUAAGGAAAGAGAUGUCUGUUAACGAAUCUAGAAGCUUCGGGUCCGCCAUGGCCGUCGUAGACGCCGACGUAAGUAGCGGAGGAAGACGUGAACACCUGACUCUGAUCCUCUAGGCUAGAAUUGGCUUGAACCACCGCGAUCGAGUAAUCUCCGCCGGCGUGUGGUUUCAACUCCGAUUGCCAGAGCAAACCGUCGCCGCUCGCUCUGCUUCCUAAACACCGUUCGAGAGGCCGCGCUAAAGCUCGCAACAUCGUCAAUUGCUAGGGUUUUCUGAUUCGAAAUGGAAUGAGAUCGAAAGGGUUUUGAUUUGAUUUGAUUAUUGGAAGAGUUUUGAUCCGUUCGUUGUUUUGUUUUUUUUUUGAUGUAAUGGAAUUUAAGGGGUUGUGUGUUGAGUUAGUAAAAGGAAAGAAAAACGCGUGAAGGAGACAGGUGACUUUUGGUCUACGCCGUUCUUUAUUUACCUACGUAGACUACGCGUCGUUUUUUAUGCCGUGCUUUUUCAAUCCAUAUCCUCUUUGUAGCUUUUUUCAACGCGUUGCUUUUUUUUUCUAGAAAUAAACAAAAUUGUGGGCGGAUAAAAAAAUAGAAACGUUACUUUCUCUUAAUAAAUAUUUUUCUUCUUGUUCAAUUUAAAAAAUUGAUAUAAAAAAUAUCUAGCUUGAUGUCUCACCAGAUUUCUAUCUAAUAUUAACAGCUACUUUAAUGUAUUUUAGAGGAAAAUCUAUAAUUGUAAAUUGUAUUUUCAUUGUCAAGUAGUACAAUAAGGAAACUCUAUUUUGCAUUCUUUUCUCAAAGUAGACAAUAUUAGUAUUUAAUAUUUUUAGUAGGAAUAUGCUGUAAUAAGAGAAUGAGUAAAGCUGUAGCCAACGUGUAGCGAUAUAUAUUUGGUUGUUGGAUAAGAAAUAUGGAUAACUACUGAAUUCAAUUUUUGGUUAAUCUACUCAUCUUUGUGUUUUAGUUAAUCUGCGCUUUUUCAUCACGUUACGGUUUCCAGCACAAGAAAAAUACUCCGUUUUGAGUCAAAAUGGUGAAUGUAGUACUGAUUAGUUUUAAUUUAACAGCAACUUGCGCAUUUAAUUCUGUUAAUCACAAGUACGUUACCCCAUUUUAGUUAAGAAACUGACGUGGAUGGACUUAUAUAAUAAUUAAUCUAGUUUUAUCAUCACGUUACAGUUUCUAGAAUAUAGUCAAACUCUCUCUUUUGUUCUAUAGAAUUGAUCAAAAUGGUGAAUAUAUUAGUUUUAAUAAAUUGCAAGUUGCAUAAUUUAGUGUUUUUUUACUGACGUUGCAUAAUUUAGUUAAGAAAUUGAUGUGGACAAGACAUAUGAAGAUACGAGGGGGCAACUAGAAACACGUUGGCCAAGUUGUUACUCUUUUGACCAAUAUAUGUUUCCCAAAUAUCGUUUGUGUGUGUUUUUUUUUUUUUUUGGCUUCCUCUGGUUAAUCGAUAAGUAAGCAUUACGUGUAAUGCUAGAUGGAUAUUUCAGACCUUUUGGAUUGUAAAUGUCAGACUCGGAACUUUGUUUUGUGAUGGUUCUCAAGUGCUUUGUCUGUUUGUCUGUACCUGAUGAUCUUACUUGGGUUUGAUGUAGUUAAGAUCAUUCGUUUGAAGUUUCUUUUGUUAAUCAAUCUUGACUUCAAGUAUUUAAGUUCAGUUUGUUUAGUGGAACUGAUCGAUAAUCAGAGAUCUGACACUUGGACAUCAAGUAGUUCCAAAUUAACACGUGUGUGUGUGUGUGUGAAAUUCGAUGCGGUCAGAGUAAAUGUCGUGUUUAACUUGAACUACCCAAUGUUGUGUUUGCUUUAGCUAGAUUCCAAGGAUUCUCUCAUAUAGAGACGAUAUUGUUUAAACGUCUUUGUCAUAUGAAAACAAAUGUUGUAUUAUAGGGACCAUCCACCGAGUCACACUCAAAACAUUAUUUUACUUUUAAUCUCAGUUGGGAUCCAAACAAACUUAUGUGUGGAUUGGUUGUUUUGUUCUUUGAGUUUCUUGAAUAUAGAUUCUUGAAAUGGAUCUCUGAUGGUUUACACCAAUUGCUAAGGAAGCAAUAUAUAUUUUUGGUUGGUAAAAUGUUAAAUUACUAUACCAAAAUUUUCAAGAUUUUACAUAACAACAUAAAAACAAAAUAGCAGUAUGCAGUAAUUAAAUCUAAACAAAACAUCUAACCAACAGAAAUUGAAAUGAAAGGUCCUUAAACUAUGAAUGAGUGGAAUGGCCGAUACAGUUACCAUGAGCUGCUGAAGGAAAGUAAAAUGUUGAAUUAACAAUGACUCUCAAGGGUCAAAACUCCAUCGUCGCAUCUUGCAUUCUGCAUCGAUGUUUUGGGUGCGUAUCAUUUCGUUUUAGGGUUUAGCAGAAUAAAAGAUAACAUAAUCUACUCCUUUUUGUUGUUAGAUUGCAUUUGAAUGGGAAUAUUGUUACGGAGUUGCAUCAUUUGUCUGUAUCUAGGAAAAGUUUAAUUUAUGGAGGGUUUGGCAUGCUUCCUCUAAUCAAGAAAUAAAAGUAAGCUCUGCUGGCUCCUAUGAUGUGUAUGUUUUGACUAUAAGCUAAAUAAUAAAUAAGUAAGGCCACCACCAACUUCUUAGGCGUGUCACUUUUCCUCCCGUGAUUACUUCUUUAAAAAGCGAGUUUAGUUUUGUUUCUUACUUUAUUAAAAAAUUACGUAUUUUCAGAAAUUGUUUGUUGAUAGGUUCGGUUCGUAUUGAAUUUGAACUCCUUGGAUACUUGAGCAUAUUGUUUAGAAAGAUCACAAAUCCACACAAACUUGCCAAACAAAUCUAAUCGUUAUCAUCCUGAACCAAUCAGAAUGACCCGUCUGACUCAGCCAGAGGGUUUACUGGUAUAUAUAUUUCCAAAAACAAGCUCUUCUUUCCUUUUUCGUAUGUGUUCUUCUUAAAACCCCUAGUCAAAGUUCAUACCUCUGGUAAUGAAUUCACACAAACAUAACACUAGUCCAAUCUCUACACUCUCCUUCUCAUCUCACUACAAAUACUCCCUCUUUGCUACCUCCUUAGACCUAAAACGACAACGUUUCACUUCUCCGUUGUUGUUGAUCUUCUUGUUCCUCUGUUUGUCUUUUGCUACUUCCAUGGCAGUCUCAGACUCAGAUUCAGACUCUGGUCCUGUUGUUCAGACGACCCCACUCGUCACCUUCCUCCAGCGCGUGCAACUCACGGCACUCCGAUCAUACUCCAAGAAGCCUGACCCUAAAUUCUACAUUGACCUGUCUCUCAAGCUCCCUCACGAUCUCUCCACCGCCGAGUCCGCCUUCGACGAUCUCACGACCGGGUCACGUGACCUGUCAGUGCCAGUGGAGAAGCUUGAAAAGUUCGUCCACGAGUACUUCGACGAUGCAGGGAAGGAUCUGGUGCACCACGAGCCAGAGGACUUCGUCUCAGAUCCCACCGAGUUCCUCCUCAACGUGGAGAACGACCAAGUCAGAGAAUGGGCGCGUGAGGUACACUGCCUUUGGAGAACCCUGAGCUGCAGAGUCUCUGACUCGGUCAUAGAGUCACCUGACCGGCACACGCUUCUCCCGUUGCCGGAACCGGUUAUCAUUCCCGGUUCGAGAUUCAGAGAAGUUUAUUACUGGGAUUCUUAUUGGGUUAUCAAGUCAGUGUUCAUCAACUUCUCACACCAUUGUUUUUUUUCUUCUAUAAUUAAUUCUUCAACUCCUUUUAAUAUUCCGUGUUGACUACGCAACACGAGCUCACGUGUCGAUGUCAUGUUAUGUGGUGCGCUUUUGCACGUGCAGAGGACUUUUGACGAGUAAAAUGUUCACUACGGCCAAAGGUUUAGUGACGAACCUGAUGUCACUUGUGGAGACUUAUGGUUACGCUUUGAACGGUGCUAGAGCUUAUUACACUAACCGAAGGUAAAAACCAAAACAGAUAAUCAUCGUAAAAUGUUACGUAACAGAGAGUAAUAGGCUGUUUUUUUAUUGUAACAAGCCAACCACCUCUAUUGAGCUCAAUGGUCUAUGAGAUCUAUAACGUAACCAAAGAUGAAGAACUUGUGAGGAAAGCUAUCCCUGUGCUUCUCAAAGAGUACGAGUUCUGGAACUCAGGUUAGUUUUUUAGUUGAGUUACAUAAUGAUAUGGUGUGUUCUUUCCUAUAUUUAAUGUUGGUUAUAUUAUAAGUAUCUUUUAAUUUUGUAGGAAAACAUAAGGUUGUAAUUCGAGACGCAAGUGGCAAUGAUCACAUCUUAAGCCGGUAUUACGCCAUGUGGAACAUGCCUAGACCUGAAUCCUCUGUUUUCGUAUGUUUCUUGUCUCAUUAGCUCAAGUAAACUGUAGCUUUUUUUUAACUUGGAAAAAAAUAUUUUGACUCCCUCUCUCUCUCUCUCUCGCUCACAGGAUCAAGAAUCAGCUUCGGGGUUUUCGAGUACGUUAGAGAAACAACGGUUCCAUCGAGAUAUAGCUACGGCUGCUGAAUCAGGAUGCGACUUCAGCACGAGAUGGAUGAGGUUAAAUUUAUUAUCAAAAUUGUUACUAGAAUCGUUUAUAUUACUGUCACACUUAAAUGUUAAAUUACUAUACCAAAAUUUUCAAGAUUUUACAUAACAACAUAAAAACAAAAUAGCAGUAUGCAGUAAUUAAAUCUAAACAAAACAUCUAACCAACAGAAAUUGAAAUGAAAGGUCCUUAAACUAUGAAUGAGUGGAAUGGCCGAUACAGUUACCAUGAGCUGCUGAAGGAAAGUAAAAUGUUGAAUUAACAAUGACUCUCAAGGGUCAAAACUCCAUCGUCGCAUCUUGCAUUCUGCAUCGAUGUUUUGGGUGCGUAUCAUUUCGUUUUAGGGUUUAGCAGAAUAAAAGAUAACAUAAUCUACUCCUUUUUGUUGUUAGAUUGCAUUUGAAUGGGAAUAUUGUUACGGAGUUGCAUCAUUUGUCUGUAUCUAGGAAAAGUUUAAUUUAUGGAGGGUUUGGCAUGCUUCCUCUAAUCAAGAAAUAAAAGUAAGCUCUGCUGGCUCCUAUGAUGUGUAUGUUUUGACUAUAAGCUAAAUAAUAAAUAAGUAAGGCCACCACCAACUUCUUAGGCGUGUCACUUUUCCUCCCGUGAUUACUUCUUUAAAAAGCGAGUUUAGUUUUGUUUCUUACUUUAUUAAAAAAUUACGUAUUUUCAGAAAUUGUUUGUUGAUAGGUUCGGUUCGUAUUGAAUUUGAACUCCUUGGAUACUUGAGCAUAUUGUUUAGAAAGAUCACAAAUCCACACAAACUUGCCAAACAAAUCUAAUCGUUAUCAUCCUGAACCAAUCAGAAUGACCCGUCUGACUCAGCCAGAGGGUUUACUGGUAUAUAUAUUUCCAAAAACAAGCUCUUCUUUCCUUUUUCGUAUGUGUUCUUCUUAAAACCCCUAGUCAAAGUUCAUACCUCUGGUAAUGAAUUCACACAAACAUAACACUAGUCCAAUCUCUACACUCUCCUUCUCAUCUCACUACAAAUACUCCCUCUUUGCUACCUCCUUAGACCUAAAACGACAACGUUUCACUUCUCCGUUGUUGUUGAUCUUCUUGUUCCUCUGUUUGUCUUUUGCUACUUCCAUGGCAGUCUCAGACUCAGAUUCAGACUCUGGUCCUGUUGUUCAGACGACCCCACUCGUCACCUUCCUCCAGCGCGUGCAACUCACGGCACUCCGAUCAUACUCCAAGAAGCCUGACCCUAAAUUCUACAUUGACCUGUCUCUCAAGCUCCCUCACGAUCUCUCCACCGCCGAGUCCGCCUUCGACGAUCUCACGACCGGGUCACGUGACCUGUCAGUGCCAGUGGAGAAGCUUGAAAAGUUCGUCCACGAGUACUUCGACGAUGCAGGGAAGGAUCUGGUGCACCACGAGCCAGAGGACUUCGUCUCAGAUCCCACCGAGUUCCUCCUCAACGUGGAGAACGACCAAGUCAGAGAAUGGGCGCGUGAGGUACACUGCCUUUGGAGAACCCUGAGCUGCAGAGUCUCUGACUCGGUCAUAGAGUCACCUGACCGGCACACGCUUCUCCCGUUGCCGGAACCGGUUAUCAUUCCCGGUUCGAGAUUCAGAGAAG
rnacentral:lncRNA from 1 species